rnacentral:rRNA from 1 species
UACGUAGGGUGCAAGCGUUAAUCGGAAUUACUGGGCGUAAAGCGUGCGCAGGCGGUUAUGCAAGACAGAGGUGAAAUCCCCGGGCUCAACCUGGGAACUGCCUUUGUGACUGCAUAGCUAGAGUGCGGCAGAGGGGGAUGGAAUUCCGCGUGUAGCAGUGAAAUGCGUAGAUAUGCGGAGGAACACCGAUGGCGAAGGCAAUCCCCUGGGCCUGCACUGACGCUCAUGCACGAAAGCGUGGGGAGCAAACAGG